UACGAAGGGGGCUAGCGUUGCUCGGAAUCACUGGGCGUAAAGGGCGCGUAGGCGGCCAUUCAAGUCGGGGGUGAAAGCCCAGGGCUCAACCCUGGAAUUGCCUUCGAUACUGUUUGGCUAGAGACCGGAAGAGGUUAGUGGAACUGCGAGUGUAGAGGUGAAAUUCGUAGAUAUUCGCAAGAACACCAGUGGCGAAGGCGGCUCACUGGCCCGGUACUGACGCUGAGGUGCGAAAGCGUGGGGAGCAAACAGG
rnacentral:rRNA from 1 species